rnacentral:rRNA from 1 species
AUUGAACGCUGGCGGCAGGCUUAACACAUGCAAGUCGAGCGGGGGAAGGUAGCUUGCUACUGGACCUAGCGGCGGACGGGUGAGUAAUGCUUAGGAAUCUGCCUAUUAGUGGGGGACGACAUCUCGAAAGGGAUGCUAAUACCGCAUACGUCCUACGGGAGAAAGCAGGGGAUCUUCGGACCUUGCGCUAAUAGAUGAGCCUAAGUCGGAUUAGCUAGUUGGUGGGGUAAAGGCCUACCAAGGCGACGAUCUGUAGCGGGUCUGAGAGGAUGAUCCGCCACACUGGGACUGAGACACGGCCCAGACUCCUACGGGAGGCAGCAGUGGGGAAUAUUGGACAAUGGGGGGAACCCUGAUCCAGCCAUGCCGCGUGUGUGAAGAAGGCCUUAUGGUUGUAAAGCACUUUAAGCGAGGAGGAGGCUACUCUAGUUAAUACCUAGGGAUAGUGGACGUUACUCGCAGAUUAAGCACCGGCUAACUCUGUGCCAGCCGCCGCGGUAA